UGUGAGCUGGCAGAAUUAAUGCGCUUGAUUUAGGAUCAACUCAUAAGUACACUUACUUGCUCUCAU
rnacentral:tRNA from 1 species